UGGCCACUAGGCUAAGAAGAUGAGGGCUUGAAAAAAGCAAAGCUUGAAAUUCCUGCCAGAGGUGAAUGAAAAUAUCAAUGUGACAUUGUGAGGACUCUGAAAUAGAGUAACAAGACUUUUCUUAUGUGGAAUCCCAAGAAAGUCCUGGUCUAUAGAGCUCAGAUUUUUCCCAUGAAGCUCAGAGAGGAUGAAGAUAUAGCUGGUUUAACUUUGUAUUGGGACUCUGAGAUGCUCCUUAUUGUCACUGCUUCCAUGGACCCUUUAGGUUAUCCUACUACGAAAUUUUUUCAACCCGUGGCUUGGAAAAUUCCAGUGUGUUUUGCAUAUAAAUUCUCUUCCAUCAACAAUGUCCAAUUCCCUUUCCCAGCUGUGUUAUUGGGAU
rnacentral:lncRNA from 1 species